CGGACGGGUGAGUAAUGUCUGGGAAACUGCCUGAUGGAGGGGGAUAACUACUGGAAACGGUAGCUAAUACCGCAUAACGUCGCAAGACCAAAGAGGGGGACCUUACGGGCCUCUUGCCAUCGGAUGUGCCCAGAUGGGAUUAGCUAGUAGGUGGGGUAACGGCUCACCUAGGCGACGAUCCCUAGCUGUCUGAGAGGAUGACCAGCCACACUGGAACUGAGACACGGUCCAG
rnacentral:rRNA from 1 species